AGCGAACGUUAGCGGCGCGCCUAACACAUGCAAGUCGCACGAGAAAGGGCUUCGGCCCCGGUAAAGUGGCGCACGGGUGCGUAACACGUAGGCAAUCCACCCUCAGGCGGGGAUAACGUCCCGAAAGGGACGCUAAUACCGCAUGAGACCACGGACCCUUCGGGGACUGCGGUCAAAGCUGGCCUCUUCAUGAAAGCUAGCACCUGAGGACGAGCCUGCGGCCCAUCAUUGCUAGUUGGUAGGGUAAUGGCCUACUAAGGCUAAGACGGGUAGCUGGUCUGAGAGGAUGAUCAGCCACACUGGAACUGAAACACGGUCCAGACUCCUACGGGAGGCAGCGUGGGGAAUAUUGGACAAUGGGCGAAAGCCUGAUCCAGCGACGCCGCGUGAGUGAUGAAGGCCUUCGGGUUGUAAAGCUCUGUUGAGGGAGAAGAAAACGGCCGGCGCGAAUAGCUCCGGUCCUUGACGGUAUCCCUUUAGAAAGCACCGGCUAACUCUGUGCCAGCAGCCGCGGUAAGA
rnacentral:rRNA from 1 species